GUUAUUUCUAUGCAUGGGGGUAAGAAGGCUCAGAGAAGGAUCCUGGCGGAUACCCCAGUGAGAAAUCGUCAGUGGCAGCCAGUGUGUACAUACGUGGACCUAGCAUUCCUCUGGAGGCCAAGUGUUGUAAAUUGGCCUGUGGCUAUCAUCUGGCAGACUCCCUUGGGAAAGAGCCAGCCAGCCCCAUGCUUCUUUUCAGCAGCAAGGGUUAGGGAGGUUGGUUGAACUUGAAGAGCAGAUUGGACAUGGAGCAGAUUUUGACCAGUUGAAAUAAGACAUAAAUUUAUGACUCCGAGUGAGGCAGAAAUAAAGAACUUAGCAGGGGGAAUAGGAGGAGGAUGAUUAUGGCAAAUUUUGCUAUAAACUUUAGUUUUAGAAAAGAUUGAUAUUGAAAAGCCUUCAGGAUUUGCCUGUGGUUGCUACUCAAGUUAAAAAGACUGGGAGCCUGCAUUGUUUGGUCCUGGAGCUCAAGGUUUUCAGUGAAGGCUUGUCCUGGCACCUCUGGGCAUUCCUUUUCAUUACUGGUUGAGCAUCCUUCCUUCUGCUCUGUCAAUUGGCAAAAUAUGCUGGAGCACAUUCUGGACUAGCAGUUGCCUUGGGGUAGUCAGGCUGGGUAUUUGUUUGGUAUCUCUUGGUGUAGCAGACCCCAGAAUCUCAUGGCAAUUAGGAUUUGGUGGCUAAACGAAAGAGUUAGUGCAAGGAAAAGCCUAGUUGGAAUUUCUGAGUCUGGGCCAUCCUUAAGCUGCUGUCUACUGCCUGAAUGGGAAGUAAUGUCGAAUUGGAAAAUUAGCUCACCAUUUUUGUUCUAGCUUUGCAGACAUUUAUUCCUCUGAUGAUAGGCUGAGAAAUGCCUAGGCCGGCUUAGAAGGCACACAGCAUGACAGAAGUACUCCUUCAAAGCAGCUGUGUCAAGAAGGAAGAGCUGGAAAAGUGGAUUUGCUGGGGAAUUAGAUGCAUUUAGUUUUCCACUUACGCACAACUGCCUUCUCCAGUAUAUCAUACCAAGGUUUUUUAGGCCUUUGUGGCUUACCCUGCAGGAACAUACUGUGUCCUGUUGUUCUGGACUGUAGCAUCUUCACCACCAUCCUCUUGGCAAUGGUUUUUUGUUUGGGGUUUUUUUUUUUUUUUUUUUGGACAAAGUAUAAUAAUAUUGAGGGACCUUUCUAGGGAGCCUUUGGUCCUUUGUCCCCAUUUUCCAAAGGGAGGGAACUUUCCUCUUAAAAGAGACAGUGGGAACUUUUAGCCAGGUUUUUGGAAAAGGCCUGUGGGCUAUUAAUGAGAGUGAGCUGCAAAAGGAGGAAGGGUUUGUUUGGGUACUUUGAAGUACUUAGCUAGGUGUUUUCUACAGUAUCUUAUAUAAUUGCAUCUUACAGCAUCUUUACAUGCGAAAUAGUUUAUCAGUUAUCUUCAAUUGCAUAUUACAAAAUUCUGAUUAAAUUUUUCUUAAAUAAGAAAACUAUCAUUUCAUAUGACAAGAAAUCCUAAUUUAAUGUUACUCCAAGGUUGGUUAAUUCAGUGGCUCAGUGAUAACACCAAAGACUCAGUUUCUUGAAAUUUUUUUGCUCUGCCAUCCUCCAUGUUUAUCCUCACGCCAGUUCGCCUCAUGGUCCCAAUAUGGCUACUGUAAUUCUGGGAAGGAAAUGCUGACAGAACCGUGUCUGGCAAAAGAGAGACAGAUUUUUCUGUGUCCUUCUAAAGCAAGGAAGUCUUCCCCUGGAAGCUCCAACAGAUACGGCCUCAUGGCUUUGCUAGAAAUGGGUCAUCUCACUCCUGUCAUUGGCAAAGCAAGUAAGAUCAUCCAUCAGGAGUGGCUUAGAUUAAUGAAUUAUCCUUUGAGUCGUGUAGACUAGAAAGUUCAGUCAUGUCUACUAGCAAGAAAGGAGAUAAGGGCUGUUGGAUAAGCAGCAUCUGGUCUCAAAGGUACUUCAACUUUUACAGAUGAGAAACAUGAAUCAGAGUGACUUUCCCAGGCUCACAGCAAGUAAGAGAGGGCCUUCAGUGUUAGCUGUGUCUGUCCCUAAAGCCCAUGUUUUAUAUUGUAUCUUGCUAGAGUAUAAAGUAACUUACUUUCUACCUUGUAGAAACUGAUGGUCUAGGAGAAGAGAUUUGAACUCAGGUGCCCAGUUGACUCUAAUCUUGGCCCAUGUGAGAGGAUUGUACUCAGUUGCUCUCCUCAUCCAGUGAUGUUUCUUGUCUAACACAAGAAGCCUAGGAGUAGAAAGUCCUAAGCAGAGUAGAAUAAUAGCGGCAGCAGGGAGGGAAGUGUGAACUGUGUGUCCCUGAGCCUGACUUACUGGGCAGGGACAUGACACUUAAAGCGGCAGCUGGCCACUCUGUCUUUCCUGCAUGCACUGAGUAUUUGGUAGCUCAUUAGUGACCAGUGAUAUUGAUCAUCUUUUCAUGUGCUCACUUACUAUCCCCAUAUCUUUGUUGUUUGCAUCUUUUACCCAUUGUAUUUGUUGUUUUUGAGACAGUGUCUCACUCUGUCACCCAGGCUGGAGUGCAGUCUCAUGAUCGCGGCUCACUGCAGUUUCUGCCUCCUGGGCUCAAGCAAUCCUCCCACCUCAGCCUCCUGAGUAGCUGGGCUUACAGGCGCACACCACCAUGCCCAGCUAAUUAAAAAAAAAAUUUUUUUUGUAGCAGUUCGGUCUCAUUAGUAUUGCCCAGGCUGGCCUCUCUUAGCUUCAAGCUAUCCUCCCGCCUCGGCCUCCCAAAGUGCUGGAAUUACAGGCAUAAGCCACAAGCCACUGGGCCCAGCCUCUUUUACCUGUUUCAAAAUUGAGUUUUAUUGAGUUGUAAGAGUUCUUUAUUCAUUUUAAACACAAGUCCUUUGUUGGAUAUAUCUUUUACAUCUAUUUUUCCCAGUCUGUGGCUUGCCUUUUCAUUUUGAAGAGCAAAAGUUUAAAAUUUUGUGAAUUUAUUAAAGCUCCGUUUGUUGCUUUUUUCUGUUCUAGUUUAUACUUUUGUAUCAUAUUUUAGGAAAUUUUGCACUGGGUAUUUGAUGGCUCCUGAGGAGGUUCAACUUUCAGAGCGCACUGAUUUCUCUGCACCUGAGAUUUUGUACUAUUUCUGUAUUUCUUUCUUCUCAGAACAACCAGUGUCACCAGGUAUGAGGGCAGAGUUUUAGCUUGUUUGCUGAGCCCCAUUCUUGAAGCUCAUUUAUUUAUUCACCUAUCUGUCCAUCAAUCCAACAAAUAUACUGAAUGCUGCUAUGUGCCAGGUACUGGCACUGUUCUAGGUACUGGGGCAAUGACAGUUAAGAUAAUACCCAAUGACCCUGCUCUGUACCCUUAAGAGCAGACUCAGUUGGGAAUGAGUUAUCCAAAUAUAGGGUGUACAUGUAGUCAGGAGAGAGCCUCAUACAGCUUUGCCUUUGGCAGAAUCCUUCAAACCUCUUUGUCUUCCUACUUCUUGAUAUUACAAAUCAUGAGCCUUUCACAUGCAUUGACUCUAAAGAGGUGGGUUCCUGGAUAGCAGAAGUAGAUAGGAAGGCAUCAUUGACAUUUACUGAGAUGGAUUGAAUCAGAGGGUGUAAAUUCUGCUCCAUCAAUGUUGAAAAAGACUAGCCCACCCCAAAGGUUUAUCACUGUCACCAUGUCUAAUGUCUAUUCUGGAAGAAGCUGAAGAAGUCUGCCUUUGUUUAGGGAACCGGUUCCAGAAUCAGAGGGGUUGAGGAUAUAAAAGACCCUUGCACAAGAGUUGGUAUUUACCCUGUCAGAUGCUGCUACCAAGAUUUGGAUUGUGUACAGUCGAGGAUUAAAAAUGACUUUUAAGAUGC
rnacentral:lncRNA from 1 species